CCUACGGGUGGCAGCAGUCGAGAAUCAUUCACAAUGGGGGAAACCCUGAUGGUGCGACGCCGCGUGGGGGAAUGAAGGCCUUCGGAUUGUAAACUCCUGUCAUGUGGGAGCAAAUUAAAAAGAUAGUACCACAAUAGGCAGCGACGGCUAACUCUGUGCCAGCAGCCGCGGUAAUACAGAGGUCUCAAGCGUUGUUCGGAAGUACUGGGCGUAAAGCGUGCGUAGGCUGUUUCGUAAGUCGUGUGUGAAAGGCGCGGGCUCAACCCGCGGACGGCACAUGAUACUGCGAGACUAGAGUAAAGGAGAGGGAGGCGGAAUUCUCGGUGUAGCAGUGAAAUGCGUAGAUAUCGAGAGGAACACUCGUGGCGAAGGCGGGUUCCUGGACAUUAACUGACGCUGAGGCACGAAGGCCAGGGGAGCGAAAGGGAUUAGAUACCCUUGUAGUC
rnacentral:rRNA from 1 species